GGCCAGGGUAGUCCUAGUGAGGAGUCACAGGACUGUUUGAAUUGAGCAUGAUUCAGAUGAUCUAAUCAGGGUUGACAGUUUAACCUUGAGUCGUCCUAAACACAGGGGUCAAAAAGAAUGAAUUAUAUAGUAACCAUAUUCACGUAGGUUUUGAGUGUUGCGAUUGUGACUUUUCGAUCUAUCUGGACGUCGAGUACCAUUGCUAGAUGGUCACUUCGAUUAGUACAGGAAUUGGUUCCUGUGCUAUCGGCUUAGGUUCGAACUUGCGGGGUCACACACAUUAGAGGUUUCUAUCUGAUCUGAUGGCUGAUGAAGAGUCCUAAUGCUCAUGGACUAUGAGUCCUACAUAUCUGAAACUCUGUGAUCAAGAAUCAGGAUUCUCUAAUCAUGAGUUCCACAUAUUUUGGGUACCGGGGUCAAGAG
rnacentral:lncRNA from 1 species